UUUGAUAGAGAGUUGUGGUCAGUCGAGAGUUUGGAUAGUUUGGAUAGAGUUUUGAUAAUCUGGAUACUAGAGUUUGGAUAGUGUUUAUAUAUUUUGAAUAUAGUUUGGAGAGUUUAGAGAGACAGAGAUAGGUUGGAGAUUUAGGAGAGUGAGGAGAGAAAGAUAGGUGUAUCAACCUUAUUUUGCAGCUUCGCCAGGGCGGCGCCAUAUUACAGCAUUUUGUCCUUUGAGUUCCGCUUCAGACCGGAAGUGCAGUUGUCAACAAAAGGAACGAGCGGUGUAAGCUAACCAGAUAGCGAUUUUAUUUCAUCAAGAUGUCGAGGCUGCCGUAAUAACUGGGCCAAGAGGAGAGAGUUUUUGAAACAAACCUGUUUUGAACAUCAUGUGGAGAGAUCGGAGUGUUGUGGGGCACCAUAUAAUCUACAUCGUCCGCCCAAAGAUGAGGAGCACAUACGGCAGUGGCUGAAAGCGCUAAACCUUAAGUGCCCACUGAAGCGCCCUUGUGUACAGUAUGUUCUUUUCAUUUUGUGGACAGAGCCGACAGAGGAGCACCCUUACCCCGAAAAAUGGCUCAGCUAUGAUGCUCCAGUACAGAAGCCACGGCGGGUUUUGAAGAGGCUGUCAGAUAGGGAUAUGACAGUCGGCAUCAAGGAUGCAGAGGAGCAGGAUGACCACAUUCACAUGCCUCCACGUUGUGAUGUGGAAACUCAGUGGGAGGAUCUGUCUGUCUCUGAACACAGCUAUGCUGCAAGAUCAUCACUCCAUCUGAAGCCUCUGACAUCUUUACAAUAUAAUUGUAAUAAAUCUUAAAAUUUCUGA